GAGAGGAGCGCAGCCAAAGCAGAAAAAAAAGCGCACAGUUUGGACGCGUCGGCGCAGAAAUCUGUGAAAUAUCCAGCUUGUUUUCCUCUGCCUCCGGAAUAGCGCAGGUGGAAAUACUCAUGGGGAGUCUGAGCAUUUGGGUUGUGGCUGUAGUCGCUCUGCUGGGGUCAACAGGCUGCUGCCUGGCUGAAAGACACAAGAGCAGCAGGCGAGGGAGUGAGGAUGGACCCAGUUUUUUGCAUGUAUCCUCCCACGCAUCACAUCUCUUGGAGAAGGGGAAGGAAGACGGGAACAUCGAUCAAUGUGAGUCCA